GUCGUGCAUGUCCUCCUAGACGCGUCCUCCGCAAGCAAGGAGCCUGAGGCACCCCGUUCGCGUGCUGUAGCGCCCCUGCAGCCGAGGCAGAGCCUCCUCCUGCCCGCGCCGUCGUCGGCUGGUCGCCUGAGGCGCCGCCCCGGGCCUGCGACCCCGUGCUGCUCACCGGGAACGUGUCGCUGUCGGCGAGCACCUCCCCCAGGCACCAUCGUAGCCCGAGGGGAGCUUCGCCCGCGUCGGCCUGGAGUCCUUCGUCGCGCCGCCGGCGAGAUCCGGCAUGGUUCCAGCUCGACCCCUCCUGUCGUUGCCAUCCAGGAGCACCUCAACCUCCUCCCGCCUCGUUCUUCACCACGACCAGGCAGCCCCAAGUGCGCAUGCCUUGCCUCCGACCAUCUCCAUAGCCCGCACCCCUGCAGCUUCGGGACCAGCAGUGGGCACCAGCUCACCGGGAUCAUCGUCCCCAUGUCAUGGUGCCCAAGCUCGUGGCUCCCGGAGCUUCGUCGGACGCCUCCAGCACCGGGAACGAGAUCCCUCGCCCGCGCCUGCCUCCAACGUGUGUUCCACGAGCUCCCCUGCACCCGAGCCUCCCCUCGAGCAGUUCUGCAGUCCCCUGUCGAGCUCGCCCCAAGCUCGACCCCGCCGCCGCUGCCCAGCACCUGAGACCAACCUCUCCUCUGGCCGUGCCUGCGAGCAGCUGCUGGAGCCGCCGCGCCGCCCCGUCAGCCGACGAGGUCCUGGCCGCGCCUCCCCCCUUGCCCUUUCUUCUCCUCCCUCUAUUUUACCUCUGCUCUCUCUAAUCUCUGCAGGUCUCUCUCAGGAGCUCACCCGUGGCCUCCCCUGCACGUCGCCGCCCCGGAUUGACCUAGCCCCGAGGUCCUCGUCGCUGGGCCAGGAGCACCUCGUCGUCCUAGACCUCGCCGCCGUCGGGGACCAGCACUGAGGAACAGAACGAAGGUUGGUGCAGCCCCACCAUGGAUGCCCUUGCUGCCCUGCAACUCCCCAUCCGCCGUCGUUCUCCAAUGGAUCCGGUCGAUACUUGCUAGGCCCGCCCAUUCCCGGCCUGGGACAGCCCCGUCGAAGCCUCCAAGUCCCUCCGGAUCGACGAUUGACCCCGUCUAGAACAACCAUGGACGAGCAGUUUCAGUAAGUUGCAGGUACAGGUAAAGGUUACUUGACGCGAGCGCGUUGAUUGUUCAUUUGGGGUUGCUUCUUCUUCUUCUUCUUCAUCGAUCUAGGAUGGGUUCCAGGCCGGCAGCCCGGGAUAGCAAGGAUGGACGUCGUUCUUCUUUUGUCGUUUGUUUUCGUCCGUAGUCGGACCCUGCUCUUACUCUUGUUGUUUAUGUAAUGUACUGAUGUGACUCUGAUGUAGCUUGUGGCGAGUGUAAGCCAACCCUUUAUAUAUCUCUCCUUUUCAG